rnacentral:rRNA from 1 species
GACGACGGGUACGGGUCCUGGAAGGGAGAGCCCGGAGAUGGACUCUGAGACACGAGUCCAGGCCNUACGGGGCGCAGCAGCUACGAAGACUUCACAANNNGGGAAACCGUGAUGAGGGAAUUCCAAGUGCUAAUACUUUGUAUUAGCUGUUUACUUGCCUAAAAAGCAGGUAGAGUAAGGGCUGGGCAAGACUGGUGCCAGCCGCCGCGGUAAUACCAGCAGCCCGAGUGGUGAUCGUUAUUAUUGGGCCUAAAGCGUCCGUAGCCGGCUUGGUAAACCCUUGGGUAAAUCGGGCAGCUUAACUGUCCGACUUCUGAGGAGACUGCCAGGCUUGGGACCGGGAGAGGUCAGAGGUACUUCUAGGGUAGAGGUGAAAUUCUGUAAUCCUAGGAGGACCACCAGUGGCGAAGGCGUCUGACUAGAACGGGUCCGACGGUAAGGGACGAAACCCUGGGUCGCGAACCGGAUUAGAUACCCGGGUAGUCCAGGGCGUAAACGCUGCGGGCUUGGUGUUGGGGGUCCUACGAGGGCGUCCAGUGCCGGAGAGAAGUUGUUAAGCCCGCCGCCUGGGGAGUACGAUCGCAAGAUUGAAACUUAA